rnacentral:lncRNA from 14 species
CUGGGAUUCCAGGAUUCUCUGCUGUGCCAAUGUCGGUCAGUCUCCACUUGUAGGUGGCCGUGACGCCCUGUUCCAUUGCCCAGGUUGAGCUAUGACCCCUCGCAUGCUGCACCUUCGGACCAAAGGCACUGAGGAAGAGCAGCCCGUGAGGGACCUCCCCGAGCCGGCUGGGCAGAGCCUGGUCCCCCCGUGGCGACUUCCGGAGCACCCCUGAUUGCCCAGCGGCCAUGGGCUCCAUGCACAAAGCCGUGGCUGUGGCUGUGGAUUUGCCCAUUGUGACGGGGCCCCCACGGUGACCGUGGGCUAUUUAAGGAGCCAGAGCCCUGCAGUAAUCAGUGCAGAGGAGACCCCUCCGUCAGGAGGCUGCAUCUCCCAUGGCUGCCCUGCACAUCCAGGUGGAACUUCAACUUCUGCACCAUGGAGUGCUUGCUACACUGCUGUUGCUGCAGUUCUUUGGGGCAAUCUCCUCCAAUUAAGACAUCAUCUAUAUAUAAUGUGCCCCAUGCCCAGAGGCAGCUCCAUCACCCAGUUCCUCCUCCUGCCAUUCCCAGACAUGAGGGAGCUGCAGCUCUGGCACUUCUGGCUCUUUCUGGGCAUCUCCCUGGCUGCGCUAGAGCAGCAACCUCGUUAUCACCAGCACAGCCUGCGACCACCACCUCCACACCCCCAGGUACUUCUUCCUCCUCAGCCUCUCCCCGCUGGACCUGGGCUGCGUCUCCACCACUGUCCACCAAUCAAUGGCAAAUUCCUUCUGGGACACUAGGGUCAUCUACACAGGUUGUGCUGCACAGGCCUUCUUUUUAUUAUCCUUGUUUGGGGCAGACUGCCCUUCUCACCAUGAUGUCCUAUGACCACUAAGUGGCCAUCUGCAAGCCCCUGCACUACGGGACCCUCCUGC